rnacentral:rRNA from 1 species
GACGAACGCUGGCGGCGUGCCUAAUACAUGCAAGUUGAGCGCCGAAGGUUGGUACUUGUACCAACUGGAUGAGCAGCGAACGGGUGAGUAACGCGUGGGGAAUCUGCCUUUGAGCAGGGGACAACAUUUGGAAACGAAUGCUAAUACCGCAUAAAAACUUUAAACACAAGUUUUAAGUUUGAAAGAUGCAAUUGCAUCACUCAAAGAUGAUCCCGCGUUGUAUUAGCUAGUUGGUGAGGUAAAGGCUCACCAAGGCGAUGAUACAUAGCCGACCUGAGAGGGUGAUCGGCCACAUUGGGACUGAGACACGGCCCAAACUCCUACGGGAGGCAGCAGUAGGGAAUCUUCGGCAAUGGACGAAAGUCUGACCGAGCAACGCCGCGGGAGUGAAGAAGGUUUUCGGAUCGUAAAACUCUGUUGGUAGAGAAGAACGUUGGUGAGAGUGGAAAGCUCACCAAGUGACGGUAACUACCCAGAAAGGGACGGCUAACUACGUG